GAAGCGGCAACAGCUCAAAUUUGAAAUCUGGCCCCCUCGGCGCCCGUGUAGUAAUCUSUAGAGGGUGUUUCUGGCGAGAUGUCGGUCUAAGUUCCUUGGAACAAGACGUCGUAGAGGGUGAGAAUCCCGUAUGCGACCGGCAAUCAAGCCCGUGCGAAGCCCCUUCGACGAGUCGAGUUGUUUGGGAAUGCAGCUCCAAAUGGGUGGUAAAUUUCAUCUAAAGCUAAAUACCGGCCAGACGCUGCUCGUCAGCGGUGCACUCGCCUGCGAUCCGGCCAGCAUCGGUUUGGGCGGCGGGAGAAAAGUCCCGGGAACGUAGCUUCUCGCGGGGAGUCUUAUAGCCCGGGUCGCAAUGCCGCCCGCCCGGACCGAGGACCGCGCUUCGGCUAGGAUGCUGGCGUAAUGGUUGCAAGCG
rnacentral:rRNA from 1 species